rnacentral:pre_miRNA from 1 species
AGUGCAAUUGCUGGGUUAUGUGGUAAGACUGUUUGUUUUGUGAGUAACUGCCAGACUGUUUUCAAAAGUAGCGGUGCCAUUUUGCAUUCCAAGCAGUAAU